UUAGACGCUGGCGGCAGGCUUAACACAUGCAAGUCGAGCGGUAGCACAGGGAGAGCUUGCUCACCUGGGUGACGAGCGGCGGACGGGUGAGUAAUGUCUGGGAAACUGCCUGAUGGAGGGGGAUAACUACUGGAAACGGUAGCUAAUACCGCAUAACGUCGCAAGACCAAAGAGGGGGACCUUCGGGCCUCUUGCCAUCAGAUGUGCCCAGAUGGGAUUAGCUAGGUGGGGUAAUGGCUCACCUAGGCGACGAUCCCUAGCUGGUCUGAGAGGAUGACCAGCCACACUGGAACUGAGACACGGUCCAGACUCCUACGGGAGGCA
rnacentral:rRNA from 1 species